rnacentral:rRNA from 1 species
GAGCGGUAAGGCCUUUCGGGGUACACGAGCGGCGAACGGGUGAGUAACACGUGGGUGAUCUGCCCUGCACUUCGGGAUAAGCCUGGGAAACUGGGUCUAAUACCGGAUAUGACCUCCUAUCGCAUGGUGGGUGGUGGAAAGAUUUAUCGGUGCAGGAUGGGCCCGCGGCCUAUCAGCUUGUUGGUGGGGUAAUGGCCUACCAAGGCGACGACGGGUAGCCGACCUGAGAGGGUGACCGGCCACACUGGGACUGAGACACGGCCCAGACUCCUACGGGAGGCAGCAGUGGGGAAUAUUGCACAAUGGGCGAAAGCCUGAUGCAGCGACGCCGCGUGAGGGAUGACGGCCUUCGGGUUGUAAACCUCUUUCAGCAGGGACGAAGCGCAAGUGACGGUACCUGCAGAAGAAGCACCGGCUAACUACGUGCCAGCAGCCGCGGUAAUACGUAGGGUGCAAGCGUUGUCCGGAAUUACUGGGCGUAAAGAGAUCGUAGGCGGUUUGUCCCGUCGUUUGUGAAAACCAGCAGCUCAACUGCUGGCUUGCAGGCGAUACGGGCAGACUUGAGUACUGCAGGGGAGACUGGAAUUCCUGGUGUAGCGGUGAAAUGCGCAGAUAUCAGGAGGAACACCGGUGGCGAAGGCGGGUCUCUGGGCAGUAACUGACGCUGAGGAACCAAAGCGUGGGUAGCGAACAGGAUUAGAUACCCUGGUAGUCCACGCCG